rnacentral:misc_RNA from 1 species
GAUGAAGAACGUAGCGAAAUGCGAUAAGUAGUGUGAAUUGCAGAAUUCAGUGAAUCAUCGAAUCUUUGAACGCACAUUGCGCCCCUUGGUAUCCCGAGGGGCAUGCCUGUUCGAGCGUCAUUUCACCACUCAAGCCUGGCUUGGUGUUGGGCGACGUCCUCUUUGGGGACGCGCCUCGAAACGCUCGGCGGCGUGGCACCGGCUUUAAGCGUAGCAGAAUCUUUCGCUUUGGAAGUCGGGGCCCCGUCUGCCGGAAGACCUGCUCGCAAGGUUGACCUCGGAUCAGGCAGGGAUACCCGCUGAACUUAAGCAAAUCAAUAAGCGGAGGA